UUCUGGGAUAUGCAGCACUUACCCAUAGCGUUGUCCAAAUACCCUGCUGCCCUAACAUGAUGCUGAAGGUAACUGGUAUCACCAAACUCAGCCAAAUCUAAUGUCUCCAGCAAGCUUUCCACUCCCCUGUUAUGCUGGCUAUUAAAUUCAAGUAGACUCUUCUUGUAUCAGUGGAACAAGUAUUCCCAGAUGUAGCAUGGAGUGGGAGAAAGAGGUCUCUGUUUUGUGGCCACCUGUUGGUGGAAGAAACAGGAGGGGAGUUUGGGUGAAGCUGUGGGACGUUUCUCCAUAGACAGUCCUAAGGCAGUUAGGACCAUGCUACCACUGGAGUUUCACUGGGAUCUGGCCUUGAGGCAUGUACGUGUUUUGUGCCACAAGGCAAUGGCUAAUAGAACAAGCUGUUACCUCUCUUGGUGAGGCAGAGGAACAAGGCAUUUCCCCUCGCUGCACCUGGUGGAGAGAGUAACCGCUUUGUCUGGGUGUUCCCUACCUUGAGCCUGUAUCUGGCUGAGUGCAAGGGGGAACGAGUAGUUCACUUCUUGUCUGGAUCAAGAGGAGCAACUGUGAGUAAUAUAAAAUAAUUUUUGCUUUUAAACCUCCAGUGUGGAGUUCUUUGAUGCCAUUCUUUCAAUGAGACCGGUGGUCAGUCCAGCUGCCAGUAGGAGGCCACACAGUGAACCAGCAUUCACUGGUGCUUUCUGGGCCCCCCUUCAUUGAGAUCCUUGGGGAAAGCUCAAAGGCUGCAUAGGCCUGGGGACCUGAAUCCCCUGCCCCUACCCUCCUCCCUUCCCAACUGCCUCUCAGGCAGGCAGAGAAGCUGGGCAAGGCAGUGAGGGGACAUCUGUCCUGAUGCAGCCCCAGCUCUGCCUGCUUUUCAGCUCCAGACUGUCACAUCUGGGCCACCCCCUGCACCAGCACACCUCCAAGGGGUCCCUUGUGUUUGCUGGUGAGGUACCUCUGGCAGAGCAUCAUGAUUCCCUGCAAGAAGUCCCUUCUUCCAACAGAGGCCGAUUCCUCUGCUGAUUCUUCCUGUUCCUGUAGAGACUCUGCUUAUCUUGUUUUGAUGGCAUACUUCCACUUUUUAACUGUUGCCAGAUCAAGCUGACCAGUGCAGGACAGGAAGCAUUGCCCCUUUGGGCCAAAUCCCUGUGCUCAGGAGAAGGGACAGCCAUAGCCUGGUACCUGGCUGAAGAGGCACAUUCCCUGUGCAGAUGGCUGGGGCAGCAGCCCUGGCGUGGCCCUGCACCCUCAGGCUUUGCUCAGUGAGAGCUGCUGAGGUGCUUAGCCCCAGAGACAUGUUUCUUCCAGCCUGUGGGUGCGACAGCCUGCCUUCCCCUGGGUGGGAGCGGGGAACAGGGAUGUCCUGCCGAUAUUGUUGCCUUUUAGUACUUUUGUAACUUCUCUCUGUCUUUUUCAAUCAGAAGGAAAAAUAAAAACAACAAAAUAAAGUGGAACAGCUGCUAUAUUCACACCUCUGGUGGGUCUCGUGCAUUUGCCAUCUUCUGGGUGUUUGUGGGCAGGGGUAUAGGAGGGAAUGGAUUAGAGCGAACUAUGACACAGCACUGCUACUCCCAAGUGCUCCUAAAUCCCAGGCCAUGUCUGCAAGAGAAUGGCUUUGAAAACAAACUAGCAAGAGCUUUUCUAAAAUGAAUGCCAGGCUCUUUGCAUAUAAGAGGAGCUCCGUGUGCAGCUGCUCCCUUUGAGGCUAGCCCUGAUCCGGUAUAUUGACCCUCGCUGGUGCUUCCCUCACCAAGAAGGUGCUUUGGCUUUUGAGUAACCUGCCUAUUGCUUGGGGGUUGAAUGCGAGCUGGCUGUGGGUGACCAUACAGCUGGUCUUUGGCUUACAAUUUUAGCCUCAGUAAGUCUUACAUCUCUAUCCCAAGAUUCUCAUCAGCCCUUUUGCUUACAGCCAGAGCACUUGUGCUCCUCUGUAGCAUAACUCUAGCUCACCCCUUCCUCUGGAUCUUGCUCUAAAAACUCCAUCUCGGGUACUUCUAAUGUGCAUUCCCCACCCCUUGCUGUCUCUCUCCCACACUCCUAGCUCUGUAUCUUAACCAGCAUCUCACAAGGCUAUUACCUAUGUCCCCUUUUCCAAGGCCCCCUGAGAGAUACUAGCUUAAAUUCCCUUAGCAGUCCUACUUAGACUCAUUCCCAGGAGGCCUUUUCUGCUCUUCUCUCCAAGCUUUGAUCUCCUCUAGGCUUUCUGACAUCUCUUAUCUUGAAAUCCUCCCCUCUCCAUCAGUUGCAGCUCAUUGUUAAUUGGCCUUGGCCCAUUUUCCAAGGGUUGUAAGGUGGACUUGCUGGCUCCCCCAAGUCCUUUGCUCUCAUACGUCCUGUACAGAAUCACCUUUCUCUGUGAUGUUUCUUCCAAAACAGCCUGAUUGCCCAGUGUACCCACCUUUGGGGCCCUAGAUGCUGUUCAAAAAUGGUGGGCGCUAUGGCUCCACAAACCCUGAUCAUCUAUAGGCUUCUGCUAGCGCAAGCUUGUUUAUAAGUAUAUAAAUGCAUAGAGAGGGAUGUGUUGACCUCAUACCAGCCAGGCUGUAGGUACGGACACAGAUUGUGCCAAAACCAGAGUACAGCAGGCGGACAGCAGAAAGGUGUCAUAAGGCUUUGCAGUGUGCAGACAGCUAACUGGCCAGGGUGAGCUGGGGUGUAGAGCUGCUCGGCUGCCCCCAGGGCUGUAGUCUGGGCCCCAGCAUGUGUUUGGGUUAAGUUCAAUCCUGCCCACCCCUCAUCACUCCCUGCAAGUUGGGCCUCUGAGUUAAUGACAAAACAGAAGGUUUUGUGGUAAAACAUGAUGAUAAAGCCUUGAUAGACAGCUCUGAAGCUAAAAGAAAGCAGGUUAGUGGUAUUCACGAAGAUCUUAUGGGGUACUUUUCAGCUGUAGUUACUAGUGUAGCUGACAAAGGAAGCUAAAGACAUUGGCCUCAUUUGGAUACCAGACCCUGGCAUGGGGGAAGGGUUUGCCAAAGACCGCUGCGGAAGCCAUCAGCAGAAACCAGAGAAAUGGGAGCUGAGCUGUGGUCUUCUGAAGGCAGUUCCUUGUUGUAGCUGCUGUGCCCUAUUGCUGCCUCUGGCAUACAUCAGUGUGGGGCUGUUUACCUCUGUGUCUUCCAAAACACCCUGUGCAAACACUCCAUCCACUGCUGGAGCGGGCAGGGGUGCUGGCUGGGGUGCAAGUGAAGCACUCUGCAAGCAUGGUCAGCUUAGCAUAGGUCCCUCAGGACCUCUGCUUUGCUGGAUCUCCCCGCUCCAGAGUUAGUCCUCCCACAAGGUUUGGGUCAUGGCUCACUGGGGGAGCCUGUAACUUCUAAGCUGAGAUCUUUCUCUGCUCUGAACCAAUCUCGCUUGGAGACGUGCAGGUGUUUCCCUUCAGAGCAAAAACAAACCCUGCGAAGAGAGGAGGACUGUUGUGCCAAGGUGCAGCCCUGGCAUGCUGAACUCAGCUGUGUUAACCAUCUGCAGGAGGGUGAAUGGGGACAGGCAGCUAUUUGAAGAGCUUGGCCACAGCUUCUCUGUGAUUUAAGUGGGACCAUUUAGGCUAAUACUGUUCUCCAGUUAAAGUCAAUUAAUUAGGUUAAUGGUAUGGCCUUAUAAAAAUAACAGAGGGGAACCAAGCUCACAGCAGUGGCAAAGGGAGUUGUAUGUGUACCCUGAGACUUGGUGAGACCCUUUGCAGCCAGCGCACAAGAUCGGCUCUUCUUGUGUUGUCCAAACAUUUUCUUAAACAUAUGUAUGUACAUGCAUGCAUACACGUUAUAUAUAUUUAUGUCUCUGUAUGUUUCCUUUAUGCAGAAAUCUCUGUACUCUACUACAGCCACCCACAAGAAGGGUGCCCUGUGCUCACCUGGGUCUGUUUGACAGGGCUCAAUGUGAAGCCCACCUGCAGCACACUCACCGUCUGUGUGCUACAAAGCAUGAUGAUGCUUGGAAAACACGCCUACCGCCCCAUUUCCAACUGCAUGCUGAGUGUUGACCUACCUGCCAACCUACCAGAUUGACUAGGAAAACAGGCAAAAUCAGCAGCACUGCUAGGGCCAGGGUUCUCACCCCAAGCUAGAUGGAGGCCACUGAAACACAGCUUGGCACAGAAGCAACUAAGCAGCAGAGUUUUCAGCCGUACAGACCAUCUCCUUCAAGCAACUUAGGGCUUUCCCUUGCUCUUUCUGAAGCUGCAUAGCAUGUUGUGGCAAGGUGUGGGGUGGAAGAAUGCAUUCAAGGGUGUGUAUCAGGUUAGGGUUGGAUGGGGUAUGUGCUGAUACAGUGUGGGUGUAUAGACACAGAGUGCAUUUACAGUGGCCUUUAUAUUUAUGGCAUCUUAUUUAUAUUUUAAGUGGAAGGAAGUCUUGGAGGAGUAAAGGCAGUGGGCACACAUGCAAGCAAGCGUGGGCCUGGCAGGAUGGGUGCUGGUGGAUGUGCAUCUGGGGCAUGGGCAAAAGAGCUUGUGCUGGGGAGGGGCAUGUGCAGGUGUCUGCAGAUAGUGAUGCACGGAGGAUGUACAAAUAGGUUACAAAUGCCAAGGCAAGUGUGGUGAGUACUUCUUUGCUGUUUCUGCAGUCUCAGCCAUCUGUGGUAACAACUGGCAGACUUUUGCAGUGUAUCUCGCCAGUAAUGUUUGGGAAAAGUGAAGAAAAAAUUACAAAGGCCUGAUCUGUGUCCUGAGGCACUUGGGCGCUUUCACCGUUGAAUUAAAAAGAAGCAGGCACCUGGACAACAGUGACUCAAAACAAAGUGACCUCAUUAUAAAAUAGGGAGUGAUUGUACACUGUUCCUUCUCAGACAAGAACUUCAGGGACAUCAAAUAAAAGUAGCAGGUGGCAGGUUCAAAGCAAACAACUGGAGGCAGAUCUGCACAGAGUGCAGGGUUGCACUGGGGAACCCUGUGCCACAGGAUACUGUGGCUGCUCCGUAUUUACAGCUCUCCAGACUUGCAAAGAAAGAAAAAAAAAGAAAAAUAGUCCCCAGGAAACACUACAUACACAAAUGCCACCCCUGGCUGAGGAAGGUGGUGAGGUGGGAGGAUUUUCGGGGGUAGGUUGCUGUGCGCCAGCCCCAUCUCACCCUCCUCUGCGGCAGAGUCCACUCCUGACAGGGUUCAAGGUGGGCUGGUGGCUCCAAACAGGCACAUGCACUAGCAACCACCCUGCCAUGCCAGCACUUCUUUGCAUGCAUGCCUGCCUGUUGCCUUUACUCCUCCAAGACAUCCUCCCUGAUAUGAGGCCUCAGUGGUGACUUGGCCCUCAUGUCUUUGAUGGUGAGGUCGGGGAUGACCCGAUGCAUCUACUGAGCUGCCAGUGUCAGGGAGUAGCUUGAAACCUGGGCCGUUCACUGAUCUAUCUGCAUGGCUGCAAAUGGGCAUCCUACAGAGCCUGUCUGCCCUCAGUGUGUGGGUGCUGGGGCCCUGCUAGGAGGACCCCAGGUCAUCAGGGCUGACUGGCAUCCAUCACGUCCCUUGCCACAGCCAGGCUGAGCCUGAACUGCCCAUGGUCACUAUGUGCAGAGGCUGGUCGCAAGGGCAUAGCUCAGGCUCAGGUUUCUGAAGUGGGUCAGGUCUGUAGCAGCUGGCAGGCUGGUGUCCAUGUGUCAUAGGAACAAAGUGAGUUUGGUUUGAGCACAGUCUCAGGCUUACAAGAUGUAUAUUAUACACGUAAUAUACUUUUGGGGUGUAGGAACACAUUAAGAAAGCAAGGGCGAGUGUCCCCCAGCAAUUUGUAAGCCUCACAUGGGAGUGAGCAAGCCAAAGAGGAUGCAGCUGAAAAGGCAAGGCUCUGCAGAAGAAGUAACAUCAGUGACGGGGAGAUUUAAGCAUGUUGGUAUCUCACCAUUUCCUGAGCUAGAUUUUAGUGGGCUUAUUCAAGAAAGGGAUGAGGAAAUAGAAGAUGUAGAUGCUUUGAAAGCUAGCUCUGGCUAUAGCUGCAUGCCAGCCUGGCAGGACUUGACCACAUGUUUUCAGUUAACCCGGGACAGGAUGUGCAGAUAGCUCUGGACACAUGAGGAGCCCAAAAAUCUGUUUUCCUUUUUGUGGCUGCUCACAUCAGUGCCUGCUGUAAUAAUAGCUCAGUCUGUUUAGUGCGUUGGCCAGUACAGAUUGCAUGUUCCUGUCUGACAUGUUCACAGCAUAGGAGCUCUGAGGUCAGAUGAGUGGAGGAACUGAAAGUGCCAUGAGGGCGGGGUGCCAAGUGGGGAGACGAAUGGAGACAACAAAGCCCCUUUGACAAGGAAAGUGGUCACCAUCUGCGAUAGGAGGAAAGUUGCUUUCUACCGAAGGGUCCCCUGGGAGCUCUGCUUUCCUCACCCUGGCACGUCCUGCAGACACCCUGAGGUGGGCUAGCCAGCAUCGAUCCUUGGUGUAGAAUGUCCUUGGAGCACACUGGCAUGCUACACCAGUGAGUCUCACAGGAGUUUGCUCCCCACUGAGGGACAGUGAGACUUUGGUGCCCUGUAUUGCUGGUGUGAGACCUAUCCUUGUGUACCCACAGCUCUCCUGAUUGUCCACCUGGGCCUACUGCUCUUUCCUCCUGGCCUCCAUGAAUGCCUCUUCUCCGUCAGACUGUGUCUUUUUCCAGGCCUCCCCUGUUCCUUCACCACCCUCUCCUGGUUUCAGGUUCCUCGAAGACCUUGCAGUGAGCCAGCCCAGAGGCUUUGGCACUGGGGUCUUGGUGCAAUUUCUUUUCCCUCACAAAUUUUCUCAUUUCCUUCCUUGGCCACCUUGUUUCAGCCUUUAGACUCAGCAGCAAUAAAGUUUUAAUGUAGACAAAAUUAUGUGCCACUCCUGGAAAUGGUUGAAGCAUCUUUGCCAAAUUUUUCCAAAAAGGGUAGCCAGAGUGUUCCAUCCUGAACGGUUUCAUUGCUGACGGGUAACAUUUGGCAAGACAUUGGUGAUGGUCUUACCCAAUGGAAGGCUGCUUGGCAAACCUGGCCUUGGCAGUGCGACCAAGCCAAAUACAUCAGGGCAAAACCUCGAUCAUAUACAGCUCUUUUGAAUUCUGAAAGCCUUUGUCAGGUCUUCAGCGCAGAGCCUCCACAGGCCCUGUUUUGAAGAGAAAUGUUUUGUCCUUUCCUGGCUUUAAACAGUUCCCCAAAAUAAACCCUCUGCUAUUUACUGGCAUUGUUUUCUUUCUUGCGUUGAAUGCUGAUAAAUAAUCAGACCCAGUAUAUUAUAUUCGUGUCUGCUCUGGUAGAAAAUAAUUACAACAAUUACUACCAAAUCAAAAUGCUUCUGUUUCUCCUGGUGUCAUUAGCAUGUCCCAAACAUUUUGUUCUUGCGGUUUAAAGUGCAGUAAUAACAUGGUCCAAGUGCAACACACGGUUGAGCGGAGCUUCCCAGCACAGCAAGCUUCCCAGCCAUGAUCGCCCCUGAGAUGCUGCUAAUUUUCAAUCGUGGUGUCAGAUCCUCUUCUACCGCAGGGAGAGCAACUGCUUAGCCUGUGGUUUACCCAAUUUAUUCUGGUAAUAACUGGGCUGGCUGCGUAGCCAUCUGUCUGCUUUACGUGCUUCUUGUGCCCCGCCUUCCCCAGACCCAGCCAUGUCUCUGUGACAGCAGAGAGAGAAGGCAUUGCUUCACCCCGGCCAUGAAGGGGGUCUCCGUGCGCUCAGAGAAGGGUACAAGUGUUCCCCCCUGGCUCUGCCCAGAAGCAGCGAGUGAUGCCUCCCAUCUCUGCUGACCUCUGGAUGCCAGGGCUGGCAGCAGUGGUGCCUGCUGCAGACAUUUCCACCAGGCAGGGAAGGAAAGAUCCCUUUUUAGAUAGGGCACCGGUGGCUUAUCAAGGUUUUGGCUGUACCCUGGCCCAAGUGAGGGGAGCUACAGCCAGUUUGCAAGGGGGAAACUGAGGCAGGGAGUGGCUAAGGCAAGGACCCGACACAAAGAUAGUGGAAAGAUACACAUUAGCCUGAAAUUGCAUCCACAGAUAUGAAAACCAUCGUGGUCACAUGUCUCCAUUUGUGAAGAAAAACACCGUAUUGACUGGAUCAUUGUAAAACCUUUAAUUGAAGAAGCCAAGUCCUCUCUGCCCUGUGUAAUGUUAUUCAAACAGACCUGCACACAACUCCUUCAAAGCAGAUGCUAGCCAGGGUACAGCCCUAGAUCAACAGUCAUUCAGGAUCAGUAUUGCUUGAAACCACUGUGUAAAAUCAAAUAUAAAUAGAGCAGAGAGCAUCUGAAGCAAUUAGGGUCUCGGGGGAGAUUCAUUUCCCGUAAUGAAGCCAAGCAAAGGAGAGAUGAUGCAUCAUUUCUGUAAUGCAGUGAGGACAUGCAGAAGCUGGAUUACUCAGAAAACUCUGAGCAGCAUGUAUGGUUCAUAUUAAAUCACCUAACCUUUCUAUCUCCAGUGGUAUUUCUGGGGCUUUCAUUACUGUGGUGUUCUACAAACUGUAGCCUUGUGAUUGCCUCUGGGAGACAGUGCAAUAUUCGAGUAAGACAAGAGGGAAGAGUGAGCAGUGGAGACCCAUCUGCAUCUCAGAGGUGCGUGGCAAAGCAGCACCUGCAGCCAAAAGCGGGGCUGAUGGAGCUGGGAGGAAGAGGAGGCACUUCUCCCUGCGGGUUUAUAAACUCUUGGCUCGCAAAGCAGGAGGACAAAGUGCAUCACCAAAACAGAAUUGUGCUUGAUGUCUGGGUCAGAGAAGCUCCAGCUGGGCCUGGGCAGCCCUUUCCACUUCCCCAUCCCUUGAGAGCCGGCCAGCAGCUGGGGGCCAAACUGGCACCUCACCCCCAGCACUGAUGGGAAGGUGAAGGAACCUUGGGAAAACCUGGCUCUGGCUGGCUGCUGUCGGCUCAGCAGCAAUUGCAGUAUAAAAAAUAUUUCUCCUCCCCACCAUGCCCUCCCCAUCUCUGCCAUGGUCUGCUUCAGAGGUAUGAAGGCAGCAGUAACUGGCCACCCCAAUGGACCGGAGACUGAUGGAUGAGCCAGCUACCCUGAGUGCCUGCCGGCUGGAAGAGGAGACUGACUAUGAGCAGAUGAUGGGAAUUACAGCUGGGUAAACUCAAUACCACGUUAACCCUGUGGGGUGUGAGCAGGGUCCCUGCCACAUGGGCAUGCAAAGCACCAGCUCUGGUCCAUUCCCCCUGAAGGUGGUGCCUGGCACUGCUGGGGUGUCCCCGUUACACUGGUGGGGUGAUAAUGCAAAGCCUUCCCUCACCUUCUCCCUGGCUCUUCUCAGGCACCAAGUACCCUGCCAUAAAACCAGUCUUUCCCCGCAUGCCCCUGUGUAUUGCCAUUUAUUACAUUACAAGGGGAGAAGGUGGGCCUGGUGCUUUCAGGGAUUUCAGGGUGUGAUGCUGGGCAGUCACUGGGGUGGGCUCAGAUGGCAGCAGGACUAGGGAGACUAGAAAUAUCUCACGGUACAGUGCCCUAUGUGCAAUAAAAAGCCAGCAGCCCAUUUUGGUCAAACCAAACAGGGCCUUUUGGAAAAGCAUGCCCUAAGAGGAAAUGCUCCCAGAGCAGCCUAUGGCCCCCAGGUAAUAAUGCUGUAAUCGAUGUCAGUGCACACAGUUAACCACUACAGGAUUACCAACUCCAUAGAUUUCAAAAUCCUGAAUAAGGCCUCAAACCUCACAGCACUGGCUUAAAAAAUAGAUUAAAACUAUGCAGUUUGGAAUCUGAUUACUUAUCCUCUAUUUGGGUUUUUAAAACUUUUGGAUACAGCUGGGCUGCAUUUUCAGCUUCUCUUUGCAUCGCAAUUGCAAGGUCACAAUAAUUACUCCAUAGAAGGGAGCUACAGGGUGGGGGUUUUUUUUGAAGGAAGCUGAGAUUCUUAUAUAUUUACAUUUACAGGGAGGGAGCUUUAACAGUUCUCUAGGCUCUGAGAGUCUGUUAAAAAUUGCAAGGGCCACUGAUAUAAUAAUAGAUUAACCUCAGACCAAUUUAUGUGUGUGGUUACUGAUCACCUGCUCUAAAUGAGCUCACUGCAGGAAGUGGACUUGCCUCUUCAAGGAAUGCUGCAUGUUUGGAGAUGUGCCAACAAAGCAUCAUUUCCACUGGAAGCAUUGUCACGGAGGGAAAAAGUGAAAUUUAUCUCAUUGCCCAGGAAGGCAUAAAGGCAGACUGAUAAAUAAUCAGGUGGUGAACCAACUACUUGGCAAUAAGUGGUGAGGCAAUCGCAGUGCGAUGAAGGCUAAUAAGAAAAUAUGAUGUCAUGCAUGGCUCUGCUUUGCCGAAGUAUGCCGCUCCCUGCGGAAAAUCACAAAGAACUGUAAAAACAAAAUACGUUUGUGCUUCAACUGGAAA